rnacentral:rRNA from 1 species
ACUGGCAUAAUAGCUUUUCUAUCGGUAGAGGAGCGUUGUAUAUGAAUUGAAGCAAAAAGCGUAAGCAAUUGUGGAUUAUAUACAAGUGAGAAUGCUGGCAUGAGUAGCGAAAAGGGAUGUGAGAAUCAUCCCCGUCGAAAGCCCAAGGAUUCCUGAGCAAGGCUCGUCCUCUCAGGGUAAGUCGGGACCUAAGGCGAGGCCGAAAGGCGUAGUCGAUGGACAACAGGUAGAAAUUCCUGUACUACAAGAUUGUGAUUGAGAGAAGUACUGACGCAGAAGGAAAAGUCGAGCGUGUGAAUGGUAGAACACGUCCAAGUAACAAGCCAGAAUAUACAGGCAAAUCCGUAUAUUCGCUAACGUAAGUUAUCAUGGGGAGCAGAAAGAUGCGAAGCGACAGAUUCAAACUGCCAAGAAAAGGUGCUAUCGAAUAAUCUUGUACCCGUACCGCAAACCGACACAGGUAGGCAAGAAGAGAAUUCUAAGACGCGCGGAAGAACCUUUGUUAAGGAACUCGGCAAAAUAAUCCCGUAAGUUAGCGAGAAGGGAUGCCUAAGAAAUUAGGUCGCAGAGAAUAGGCCCAAGCGACUGUUUACCAAAAACACAAGUAUCUGCUAAAUCGAAAGAUGAAGUAUAGGUGCUGACACCUGCCCGGUGCUGGAAGGUCAAGGGGACUUGUUAGAGCAAUCGAAGCAACGAACUUAAGCCCCAGUAAACGGCGGCCGUAACUAUAACGGUCCUAAGGUAGCGAAAUUCCUUGUCGGGUAAGUUCCGACCCGCACGAAAGGUGUAACGAUUUGGGCGCUGUCUCAACAAAGGAUCCGGUGAAAUUGUAGUAGUCGUGAAGAUGCGACUUACCCACGGUAGGACGGAAAGACCCCGUGGAGCUUUACUGCAGGUUGACAUUGAAUUUUGGGAUUAAAUGUACAGGAUAGGUGGGAGACUAAGAAGCAAGCUCGCCAGAGUUUGCAGAGUCACUGUUGGGAUACCACCCUUUUAAUUCUAAAGUUCUAACUAGUUGCCAUGAAACUGGUAAUAGGACACUGUCAGUCGGGCAGUUUGACUGGGGCGGUCGCCUCCAAAAAAGUAACGGAGGCGUUCAAAGGUUCGCUCAGAAUGGUUGGAAAUCAUUCAAAGAGUACAAAGGCAAAAGCGAGCUUAACUGCGAGACAUACAGGUCGAGCAGAGACGAAAGUCGGACUUAGUGAUCCGGUGGUACCGAGUGGAAGGGCCAUCGCUCAACGGAUAAAAGCUACCCCGGGGAUAACAGGCUUAUCUCCCCCAAGAGUCCACAUCGACGGGGAGGUUUGGCACCUCGAUGUCGGCUCGUCUCAUCCUGGAGCUGGAGUAGGUUCCAAGGGUUGGGCUGUUCGCCCAUUAAAGAGGCACGCGAGCUGGGUUCAGAACGUCGUGAGACAGUUCGGUCCCUAUCCACCGUGGGCGUGAGAAAUUUGAGAGGAUCUGUCCUUAGUACGAGAGGACCGGGAUGGACAGACCGCUGGUGUACGAGUUGUACUGCCAAGUGCACAGCUCGGUAGCUACGUCUGGAAAGGAUAAGUGCUGAAGGCAUCUAAGCACGAAACCAACCUCGAGAUAAGAUUUCUAUGAGAUUACUUGAAGAAAACAAGAUAGAUAGGUCAGAGGUGUAAAGAUAGUAAUAUCAAAGCUAACUGAUACUAAUAAAUCGAAAACUUGACUGGAAAUAUAUACUGUUAUUGAUUGGAAAUGAAAAGUGAAUAAGUAUGGUGAUAAAAGCAAGAGGGAUACACCUGUA